rnacentral:rRNA from 1 species
CCUACGGGUGGCAGCAGUAGGGAAUAUUGCUCAAUGGGGGAAACCCUGAAGCAGCAACGCCGCGUGGAGGAUGAAGGUUUUCGGAUUGUAAACCUCUGUCAGCAGGGAAGAACGGUCACUGUGCUAAUCAGCAGUGAAUUGACGGUACCUGCAAAGGAAGCACCGGCUAACUCCGUGCCAGCAGUCGCGGUAAUACGGAGGGUGCGAGCGUUAAUCGGAAUUACUGGGCGUAAAGCGCUCGUAGGCGGUAUGUCAAGUCAAGGGUGAAAUCCCCGCGCUCAGCGUGGGAACUGCCUUUGAAGCUGGCAAACUGGAGUGUGUGAGAGGAUAGUGGAAUUCCAGGUGUAGGAGUGAAAUCCGUAGAUAUCUGGAGGAACAUCAGUGGCGAAGGCGACUAUCUGGCACAUAACUGACGCUGAGGAGCGAAAGCGUGGGUAGCAAACAGGAUUAGAUACCCUUGUAGUC